AACACCAGGCGGAGUGGUUAACGCGCUGGCCUGCUAGUCGCUCUUCGGAGCGGAAGUCAGCCAGUUCCUUCGGGAGCGUGUGUUCGAAUCACACAGGUGUCG